AUGGACCAUUCCAUCCCUUUUUCCCGUGCAUAUGCAUCGGACUCGGAUGACGAUGGUCCCGAUGAACAAGUUGAUGCGGAGGGGUUCACGGUGAAGGAGGCCGAAGCUUUCGAGAAGGUAUUUGGUCGGGAUCAUCGGACUACAUUGUUCAAGGAUGUUAGUCUCGCGGAUGAAGCCAUGGUAGAUGGUGGCCAAUGUGUACCUCUUGGGGUUAGGCCAAGCUCUCAC
rnacentral:rRNA from 1 species